CCUACGGGUGGCAGCAGUGGGGAAUAUUGGACAAUGGGCGAAAGCCUGAUCCAGCCAUGCCGCGUGUGUGAAGAAGGCCUUCGGGUUGUAAAGCACUUUCAGUGGGGAAGAAAGCCUUGGGGCUAAUACCCUCGAGGAAGGACAUCACCCACAGAAGAAGCACCGGCUAACUCCGUGCCAGCAGCCGCGGUAAUACGGAGGGUGCGAGCGUUAAUCCGAAUUACUGGGCGUAAAGCGCGCGUAGGCGGUCUGAUAAGCCGGUUGUGAAAGCCCCGGGCUCAACCUGGGAACGGCAUCCGGAACUGUCAGGCUAGAGUGCAGGAGAGGAAGGUAGAAUUCCCGGUGUAGCGGUGAAAUGCGUAGAGAUCGGGAGGAAUACCAGUGGCGAAGGCGGCCUUCUGGACUGACACUGACGCUGAGGUGCGAAAGCGUGGGUAGCAAACAGGAUUAGAUACCCCAGUAGUC
rnacentral:rRNA from 1 species